UUGGAUUUUGGCUCAGAUUGAACGCUAGCGGGAUGCCCACAUGCAAGUCGAACGGCAGCACGGACUUCGGUCUGGUGGCGAGUGGCGAACGGGUGAGUAAUGUAUCGGAACGUGCCUAGUAGCGGGGAUAACUGAGAAAGCGUAGCCAAUACGCAUACGCCCUUCGGGGCGUUGGGACCUUCGGGCCUCGCAUCAGAGCACGAUACAUCGGAUUUCAGCGAAGUGGUGGGGCACGGGCCACUUAAGGCGACGAUCCGUAGCUGGUUUGAGAGGACGACCAGCCAGCACUGGGACUGAGACACGGCCCAGACUCCUACGGGAGGCAAGGGUGGGGAAUUUGGACAAUGGGGAAACCCCGAUCCAGCCAUCCGCGUGUGCGAUGAAGGCCUUCGGGUUGUAAAGCACUUUUGGCAGGAAAAGAAACGCCAAGAUAAUACCCUGCAACCGACGGUACCUGCAGAAUAAGCACCGGCUAACUACGCCAGCAGCCAGCGGUAAUAAGGUAGAGGCGCAAGAAUCGUUUUAUUGGGGCAGCGCAUGCAGUAGUUCUCGGAAGCAGUGAUGUGAACCAGAGCUGACUUUCGUCUGCAUUUUAAUCACCGAGCAGAGGUGUCAGAGUGUGAGGUAACUCCAUGUGUAGCAGUGAAUGCAGACAUGCGGAGGAACACCAUACAGCGCAGCCUCCUUCGGGGAUAACACUGACGCUCAUGCACUGUGUUAUGGGAUAAACAGGAUUAGAUACCCCUGGUAGUCCACGCUCCUAAACGAUGUCAACUAUUGUUAGCCUUUCGCCCAGAAAGGCAGCUAACGCGUGAAGUUGACCGCCUCGGGGAGUACGGUCGCAGACGCAAACCUGCAUGAAUUGAUCGGGACCCGCAGCCAUGUGGAUGAUGUGAUUUAAUUGAUAAAACGAAAACCUUACCUAAAUUUCGACAGCGUUCCGGAACUUCAAAGAGAUUUGGGGAGUGUCGCGGUUAGAACUGGAACACAGGUGCUGCAUGGCUGUCGUCACCGUGUCGUGAGAUGCUGGGGUUAAGUCCCGCAACGAGCGCAACCCUUGUCAUUAGUUACAACAGUACAAGACCACUGACUGCUGGUGAGCAAACUGAGGUUGCGGGGAUGACGUUUGUCCUUUACGCGGUUCUUAUGGGCAGGUCAGCUUCACACGUCAUGUGAAGCAUUCUGGACAGAUAUCGCCAGCCCCAGCGAGGAGCCAUCCCAGAAACCCGAUCGUAGUCCGAUCGUGAGUUCCGGUAACUUGAAUUGCGGAAGUCGCAAUCAGCGAAAAAUCGCGGACUGUGCGUACGUCGCGGGUGAAUAUGCCCUGGCCUGUGGCUACAGGUCGUCCAUUACAUCAUGGGAGUGGGUUUCACCAGAAGUAGUUAGCCUAACCGUAAGGAGGGCGAUUACCACGGUAGAUUCAUGACUGGGGUGAAGUCGUAACAAGGUAAC
rnacentral:rRNA from 1 species